AUUCCCAUUGUGAAGGUGCGAUGGCAGCUUCAUACCCUGGAAGAAGCAACGUGGGAGUUGGAAAGAGAGAUGAGGGAGAAGUAUUCGAACUUGUUCGAGAUAAAUUUGAGGACCAAACUUUUCUAAGGUGGUGAGGAUGUGUUUGCCCAUCGCUGUGCUUAAUUAAUUUGAAAAACCAUAUUUGUUCGGGCCUUUUAGGCCCCAUUGAACUUAUUUAAUUUCUCCGCAUAUUGUUUAUCGUAAAACAUGAAUCUUGCUGAUUUUUAAUUAUUUUGAUUUUAUUCAAUAUUAUUUUAUUUUAAUUAUUUUUGUUUAAUUUUCAUUUAAUUUCAAUUAUAUUAUUUAUUUUAUCCCAGUAAAAAUUGGAAAAAUCAUAAAAAAAUUGCAAAAUGGAUAAAAAUAAUCUUGUGGGAAGCUGCCUGCAGGAUGCCUGUGUUAUGUGCACGCACGCACGUACAGCAGAUGCAGGACGUGCACACAACACGCACGUCCCAUCCGCGCGCGAUGCAGGGGGUCACACCCUGCACUUGUUUUUUCGCGCGCAGGUGGGGAAGUCUGCGGGUCACCUUGUGCGCAGACAGGUGUCGCACAUUGUGCACACACCAUCAGCUCAGCAGGCCUACGCAGAUAGGCCCCUGUGUGUCUAGGGCUGCGUGCGUGGUAAGUGGCUUGUGCACCUGCAGGCUAGCCUGCAGCAUGUCGGGCGGGCCACUGUCACCUCGGGCAGUGUACCACCGUCACCUCAGGCGAUGAGCCACCACCACCAGCGAAGGAGG
rnacentral:lncRNA from 1 species